rnacentral:rRNA from 1 species
CCGUAGGGUGAACCUGCGGAAGGAUCAUUAUUGAAAUGAAACUUGAUAAGUUGCUGCUGGCUCUCUAGGGAGCAUGUGCACACUUGUCAUCUUUGUAUCUUCACCUGUGCACCUUUUGUAGACCUGACUAUCUCUCUGAAUGCUCUCUAUAGCACUUGGGAUUUAGGAUUGACUUCCAGUCUUUCCUUACAUUUUUCAGAUCUAUGUUUAUCCAUAUACCCUGAUGUAUGUUUAUAGAAUGUAAAUUAUUGGCUUUUUUGCCUAUAAACCUUUUACAACUUUCAGCAACGGAUCUCUUGGCUCUCGCAUCGAUGAAGAACGCAGCGAAAUGCGAUAAGUAAUGUGAAUUGCAGAAUUCAGUGAAUCAUCGAAUCUUUGAACGCACCUUGCGCUCCUUGGUAUUCCGAGGAGCAUGCCUGUUUGAGUGUCAUUAAUAUAUCAACCUCUUUGGUUGGAUGUGGGCUUGCUGGCCUCUUGGGUCAGCUCACCUUAAAUGUAUUAGCAGACGACAUUUUGCCAACUGUUCAUUGGUGUGAUAAUUAUCUACGCUAUUGAUGUGGUGAAGCGAUGUCAGCUUCUAACGGUCCAGGACUGGACAA